GGUACCUCAAGCCCAGUAUCCUGUCUCUGACUUGUAAAUCCUCUGAGAUAUUGUUGUAAUUUAAGCUCUGUUCCUUCUUUAAGGUGCCUCCCUGGAUCCUUCUGGUGGUUCCUGUGUAACCUGAUCUCGUUCACCUCCUGAGUUUCCCCGUUCGGAUUACAGGCUCGCUGCCACCGGGUUCUAGACACUCAGUCACCUAAACCUGUCCGCCCUCCAACGAACUGCUUACCUCUGGAAAACACAGAACUGACCAAGAAAUCCAAGAACUGACCUCCCCUCCCGGACUCCUAUUUCCGCCUGCAACAUGGAUGUACCGCCGGAGCCGUACCAGAAAUUCUCAUUCAUGUCAUAUCCCUUCUGAAUAAAUAUCUUAAGCUUC